rnacentral:rRNA from 1 species
CGUAUGUUCCAAGCGUUAUCCGGAUUUAUUGGGCGUAAAGCGAGCGCAGACGGUUAUUUAAGUCUGAAGUGAAAGCCCUCAGCUCAACUGAGGAAUGGCUUUGGAAACUGGAUGACUUGAGUGCAGUAGAGGAAAGUGGAACUCCAUGUGUAGCGGUGAAAUGCGUAGAUAUAUGGAAGAACACCAGUGGCGAAGGCGGCUUUCUGGACUGCAACUGACGUUGAGGCUCGAAAGUGUGGGUAGCAAACAGGAUU